rnacentral:rRNA from 1 species
AGCAGCCGCGGUAAUUCCAGCUCCAAUAGCGUAUAUUAAAGUUGUUGCAGUUAAAAAGCUCGUAGUUGAAUUUCGGGAUUGGCGCAUCGGUCGUGCCUUACGGGGUAUGAACUGGUGCAGUCAAUUUCUCACCUUCUGGAGAACCGCGAUGUCCUUAAUUGGGUGCCGCGGGGAACCAGGACCUUUACUUUGAAAAAAUUAGAGUGUUUAAAGCAGGCAUUUUUGCUUGAAUACAUUAGCAUGGAAUAAUAAAAUAGGACGGCAUGGUUCUAUUUUGUUGGUUUCUAGGACCACCGUAAUGAUUAAUAGGGAUAGUUGGGGGCAUUAGUAUUCAAUUGUCAGAGGUGAAAUUCUUGGAUUUAUUGAAGACUAACUACUGCGAAAGCAUUUACCAAGGAUGUUUUCAUUAAUCAAGAACGAAAGUUAGGGGAUCGAAGACGAUCAGAUACCGUCGUAGUCUUAACCAUAAACUAUGCCGACUAGGAAUCAGACGAUGUUAAUUUUUAAUGUACUCGUUUGG